GCCUAAUACAUGCAAGUCGAACGAGAUCCUUCGGGGUUUAGUGGCGCACGGGUGCGUAACGCGUGGGAAUCUGCCCUUGGGUUCGGUAACGUUUGGAAACGAACGCUAAUACCGGAUGAUGACGAAAGUCCAAAGAUUUAUCGCCCAGGGAUGAGCCCGCGUAGGAUUAGCUAGUUGGUGAGGUAAAGGCUCACCAAGGCGACGAUCCUUAGCUGGUCUGAGAGGAUGAUCAGCCACACUGGGACUGAGACACGGCCCAGACUCCUACGGGAGGCAGCAGUAGGGAAUAUUGGACAAUGGGGGCAACCCUGAUCCAGCAAUGCCGCGUGAGUGAUGAAGGCCUUAGGGUUGUAAAGCUCUUUUACCCGGGAUGAUAAUGACAGUACCGGGAGAAUAAGCCCCGGCUAACUCCG
rnacentral:rRNA from 1 species